UGGGGAAUAUUGCACAAUGGGCGCGAGCCUGAUGCAGCGACGCCGCGUGAGCGAAGAAGUAUUUCGGUAUGUAAAGCUCUAUCAGCAGGGAAGAAAAUGACGGUACCUGACUAAGAAGCUCCGGCUAAAUACGUGCCAGCAGCCGCGGUAAUACGUAUGGAGCAAGCGUUAUCCGGAUUUACUGGGUGUAAAGGGAGCGUAGACGGGACAGCAAGUCUGAUGUGAAAGGCUGGGGCUUAACCCCAGGACUGCAUUGGAAACUGUUGACCUUGAGUGCCGGAGAGGUAAGCGGAAUUCCUAGUGUAGCGGUGAAAUGCGUAGAUAUUAGGAGGAACACCAGUGGCGAAGGCGGCUUACUGGACGGUAACUGACGUUGAGGCUCGAAAGCGUGGGGAGCAAACAGGAUUAGAU
rnacentral:rRNA from 1 species